rfam:Myotis davidii contig323883, whole genome shotgun sequence.
UAGGCCCUGAAUCAAGACCAGUGGGUUUUUUUGUAGCUGUUGGUUUCAAACAGGAGCCAAGAGCAAUGUCUUCCUGUGGUUUGUUGGCCAUUCAGGACCCAGUGGGAAUGGCCAAUUCAAUUGGAAGAAACAUAG